ACCAGGGUGGCCGAGUGGUUAAGGCGUUGGACUUAAGAUCCAAUGGACAGAUGUCUGCGUGGGUUCAAACCCCACCCCUGGUA
rfam:Scleropages formosus scaffold7740, whole genome shotgun sequence.